rnacentral:misc_RNA from 1 species
AAGUCGUAACAAGGUUUCCGUAGGUGAACCUGCGGAAGGAUCAUUAACACGUAUCCAACGUUAAAAACCCCGUGCACCUUAAUCCUGCUCUCCUCACCUUGAUAAGCAAUCUCUGGUAAAUCAUGUCGAACGGUUUGAUUCAGAGACCUCUGGCUUGUGCGAUGACGGCGGAAGCUAAAGGUGUAAUCGAGCGCUAGGUUCAGUGGUUUGGUCUUCCCCUCAAACCACUUCAAUGAAUGUCAGUGUCAUUGAAGUGUGAUGGGGAAGUCGCUUAACGACGCUGUAGGCUCACACGAGCCGGCGUCCAAAUCACCAGGCGCAAGCCUCCCUAAAACCACAUGUCAGCGUAGGCCCUUCUGUCGUGGUUGGGCGUAAAAACGAACAACUGUUAACAAUGGAUAUCUUGGUUCUC